rnacentral:rRNA from 1 species
UACGGGGGGAGCAAGCGUUGUUCGGAUUUACUGGGCGUAAAGGGCGCGUAGGCGGUCAGCACAAGUCAGUUGUGAAAUCUCCGGGCUUAACUCGGAAAGGUCAACUGAUACUGUGCGACUAGAGUGCAGAAGGGGCAACUGGAAUUCUCGGUGUAGCGGAUGAAAUGCGUAGUAGUAUCGAAGAGGAACACCUGCGGCGAAGGCGGGUUGCUGGGCUGACACUGACGCUGAUGCGCGAAAACCAGGGAGCGAACGGG